rnacentral:rRNA from 1 species
AUUGAACGCUGGCGGAAUGCUUUACACAUGCAAGUCGAACGGCAGCACGGACUUCGGUCUGGUGGCGAGUGGCGAACGGGUGAGUAACAUAUCGGAACGUAUCCAAUAAUGGGGGAUAACUAAUCGAAAGGUUGGCUAAUACCGCAUACGCCCUACGGGGGAAAGCUAGGGAUCGUAAGACCUGGCGUUAAUGGAGCGGCCGAUAUCUGAUUAGCUAGUUGGUGGGGUAAAGGCCCACCAAGGCGACGAUCAGUAGCUGGUCUGAGAGGACGACCAGCCACACUGGAACUGAGACACGGUCCAGACUCCUACGGGAGGCAGCAGUGGGGAAUUUUGGACAAUGGGCGCAAGCCUGAUCCAGCCAUUCCGCGUGAGUGAAGAAGGCCUUCGGGUUGUAAAGCUCUUUCGCAAGGGAAGAAAACUUAUCCUCUAACAUAGGAUGAGGUUGACGGUACCUUGAUAAGAAGCACCGGCUAACUACGUG